AUGGACCCUUGCGGUGAGAAACAGCCGCUGUGUACUCAAUUUCCUAUCCUGUUUAGUGUGUGCAAUGAUCAGGAGAUCACUGUUGCUAAAUUCAGGGAGAAUGUGGAGGUGAACUUCUUCAGAAGAAGACUAAAUCCUGAGCUUCUUGCUCAACGGAAUAAAGUGCAGGCCUGGGUGGGAGCGCUACCACCUUCUAACGACCCUGAUCAGGUCGUCUGGGCCUUAGGGGGGAAGAAGUACUUCACUACUAAAUCGGUCUACAAGUAUUUGGAGAGGAACAUCACUGGGUGCAACUUCAGAUGGAUUUGGAAAGCCAAAAUCCCUUUAAAAAUACAGAUCUUUUUGUGGCAACUAUUUCAGGAUUCGGUCCUGACCAGGGAAGUCAUGAGGAGGCGUGGGUGGCUGGGUAGGCCGGCAUGUGAUUUUUGCAAUAAGAAAGAAACAUCAAAUCACCUUUUCUUUACCUGUCCAGUUGCUAGAGUUAUGUGGAGGAAAGUUGGGUGA
rnacentral:rRNA from 1 species